GCGGCCAAUCAGCGUCGCCCACGACCCUGCCCGGAGGAGCUGGAGCCGCCGCUCGGUUGGGCCCGGCCCGGAGCCGCCACUGUCGGGACCGGGGGCGGCCACGGAGGAGGAGAUGGUGUCCCCCGCUGCCUCGGCCGGGCGCCUGGGCUCCGCGCUGCCCUUCCUGCUCGUGCUCCUCGACCUGCAGUACCAGGGAGCUGAGUGUGGAAUAAAUGCAGAAGUAGAAAAACAGCUUGAAAUGGGGAAGAAGUUAUUGGCUGCUGGGCAGCUGGCAGAUGCUUUGUCUCACUUUCAUGCAGCUAUAGAGGGAGACUCUGAGAACUACAUUGCUUAUUACAGAAGAGCCACAGUGUACUUAGCCAUGGGCAAAUCUAAAGCGGCAAUUCGCGAUUUAAGUAAAGUGGUUGAAUUAAAGCAGGACUUCACAUCAGCAAGAUUACAAAGAGGACACUUACUGCUUAAGCAAGGGAAAUUCGAUGAAGCAGAGGAUGACUUCAAAAAUGUGCUCAAAUCCAAUCCUAGCAAUAAUGAGGAAAAAGAAGCCCAGACGCAGCUGACAAAAUCUGAUGAGCUGCAGCGCCUACAUUCACAGGCAUUAUCUGCCUACCAGCAAGAGGAUUAUGGAGCUGCUAUUUCUCUUCUUGAUGAAAUCUUGGCUGUUUGUGUUUGGGAUGCAGAGCUACGGGAACUUCGAGCAGAGUGUUACAUAAAGGAAGGGGAACCAAGCAAAGCCAUUAGUGACUUGAAAGCUGCUGCCAAAUUAAAGAAUGAUAAUACUGAAGCCUUUUAUAAAAUCAGCAAAAUAUAUUAUCAGCUGGGGGACCAUGAAUUAUCUCUCAGUGAGGUCCGGGAGUGUCUGAAAUUGGACCAAGACCAUAAGCAAUGCUUCUCCCUCUAUAAGCAAGUGAAGAAACUCAAUAAGCAGAUCGAGUCAGCAGAGGAAUUCAUCAGAGAAGGCAGGUAUGAAGAUGCUAUCAGUAAAUACGAGUCUGUAAUGAAAACUGAGCCAGAAGUCCCAGUUUAUUCUACUCGUGCCAAAGAAAGGAUCUGUCACUGCUUAUCAAAGAAUCAGCAGGCUACAGAAGCCAUCAAACUUUGUUCAGAAGUUCUGCAGCUGGAGCCAACCAAUGUGAAUGCCCUGAAAGACAGAGCAGAAGCUUAUUUGCUAGAAGACAUGUAUGAAGAAGCUAUUAAAGACUAUGAGACUGCUCAAGCCAAUAGUGAAAAUGACCAACAGAUUCGGGAAGGGCUGGAACGUGCCCAGAGAAUGCUGAAGCAAUCACAGAAGAGGGAUUAUUAUAAAAUCCUGGGAGUAAAAAGAAAUGCUCGAAAGCAAGAAAUCAUAAAAGCUUACAGAAAGCUGGCAUCCCAGUGGCACCCUGAUAACUUCCAGAGUGAGGAAGAAAAAAAGAAAGCAGAGAAGAAAUUCAUUGAUAUUGCAGCUGCUAAAGAAGUCCUCACUGACCCAGAAAUGAGGCGGAAGUUUGAUGCGGGAGAGGACCCAUUGGAUGCGGAGAGUCAGCAGGGUGGCAACAACCCUUUCCACAGGAGCUGGAACACGUGGCAAGGAUUCAACCCCUUUGGUUCUGGAGGAGGACCAUUUACAUUCAAAUUUCACUUCAGUUAGAGCCAAGACUGUUUCUGGGUGGCUGCUGCUGUUUUUAACUUAAUUCAUUGAAAAAUAAAAAGUCUCUCUGUUCAAGACCCAAAAUCUUAAUUUCUAUAAUGUUGUCCUUAACCCGGAGUCUUACUGCACUAGAAGAAAGCUCCUUUUUUCUUUUGUUGGGUUUGAUUUGUGAUGAGCUUGACAAGCUCACACUGAUGGGGGUUGUGCUGCCUAUGUAUUUGCUGUGGAUAUGCAGGACACGUUUAUUCCUACGGAUGGAAAAAACAGUAAGAUGCUACUUAGGACAACACUUUAAAUUUAGAAUUCAAGUAUAUGCUUAAAGAUAAAAAUGCAUGUAAAUAUUUUUGUGGAUUGGGGCCUAAUAAACAUGGCAAGGGUAGUUACAGUAGUCUCUACGUUAACAAACUGUUGGUUGUGCUCAGCAGAAUGAUCCAUCUCCCAGUAUUUUUCAGAGGAAACCCAAGUGGCCACCUGCUGGAUUGGUGAUGGAAGUGCCAAGGGUGGGAAAGAGGCUGCACACUGAACCAGUCUCAACAAUUGCUCUGGACAAAGAGUGCUUGGGGGUAACUGUAGCUGAAAUACUGCUCACUUUGUUGUUCACUAACCUGAAAUUAAUUGGGAUGACUUCCUUGGUGGAAUUGUCAGCAGUGAGGUGGGGUUGGGAGGAAAGACUUGAUUUUCAGAACGCUUCUUUUCUUAAUGUGAUUUUUGGGUGUUUGUUUAGGUAUCAUUUUUGAGUAGUUUGCACUUCAACAAAACAUCUGCUUCAAAUUUGAGCAGAAAAUUUGAUGUGACAUUUCCCUGACUCUGCAGCAAUUUGUUGGUUCUGUAGAUAAAGUCAGAACUGAGACAGGUUGUGAUGUGAGUGUACUGCAGGAAUGUGAUAUUAACUCCAGCCUUACCAUGCAAUACAACUUCAAUUCUGCUGGAUGAUGCAACAGAGAGUUAGUACUACAUGAAAUUGUAGUAAUUUUAUGUUUCAUGUAAUAGCAUCGGUACUGCAGAGACAGCUGUGUGCAAAAAGAGGGACUCACUUCCCACUAGCCAAAAGUCUGUUUCUAAUUUUUUUCUAUAUGCACAUACUUAAAAUGGGUUUGGUGUAGUUGUUGGAGUUGUGUGAAUGCGCUGUGUGGUGUUACCAGGGCUGCAGCUGGUAGGAGUGAGGAGUCUUCUCAUUCUGUAACCGCAUCUGUCAUAAUUACUGACAUAAUUACUGAGUUUCAUCAGCAGCCAUUUUCUUGGAAUGCAAGAAUUACAGUUCAUCAGUGUUCUCUUGAUUGGAUUUUAACUGGAAAACAAUAAUCAGUUGAUAGAAGUCUUCUCUUGCUUCAACUCCUGGCACUUGAAAACCUAAGCAGCCUCAGUAAAACAAAUGAAAUUAGCAAAUAAGGCCUUCAGUCUGAAAGGGAGGGGUCUCUUACUGUAGAUGAAGUUGUUGUUGAAGUAGAACCCUUGGCUCCUGCCUCAAGUACUUCACUAAUAUAAUUGUGAGGCCAUGCAGCUUUGUAAAAUGUUUUCCAACAGCACUUUAAAGCUCAGUGUUCACAAAUUUAUCUUCAAACUGAGGAGGUUGUAUGGUGAUUUCUAAUGGUUUAUGGUACAAAACCACCACAGCAGCCUCUUAAACUCCAGUGUUGGAUGUUCACUAAGUUGAAUGACUUUCUACAAGUUCAACUUGUGCUUGUGACCUGUUGGAAAUAUUUUGGCUCGAAGUGAUGGAGAUGCUCAGGGCUGUUGAGAGCGCUCAAGGCUGGCACAGGUCUCAGGGGCUGGGGCUCAGACAUAGGAACUGACUGCACAGUGAGGAGCCUGCUGCCCCGUGGGGUUGGCCUCUGUGCCCCUGCUGCUUGCUGGCAGUACCUAAGGUUGGGCAGGUAGCUGUGGGGGGCAGCUGUCCGUGUCCUCCUGCGGCUCUUGUCAGCCCUCCGCCCUGAGGGGUGAGCUCCACCCAGCUGUGCUAGCCCUGGGUUGUGUGUGAGCCAUUGGAACACUUGCGUAUUGCCUUGUUCUCUCCAGCAGGGGCUGCUUUAAAAUGAGUAUUGAAUGAGCAGCGUGAGCGAUGUGCCCGAUUGCGUACAUGCAGGAGUGGCGGGGCUGUGCGAAGUCACAGUAAAGACUACAGACAGCUGUGCUUGUGUGCCAGGGGACUGCUGGAAAUAAGUUCUCUUUCAAAGGACUGCCCUUGUGCAGCUUUAAAAGCUCGAGCUGAGAGAAUUGUUUCCUGAGGUUUCAUUUUUUUUCUUUUGUAUAGAGAAGGAAUAAGAUGUUCCCUCAUGAGUAAAUUCUUCAUACUAGGCACUGAUGUUGGAGCAGUGUGGGUUUGUUUCUCGGAGGCAGCGGGACAGAGACGAACAAAAAAGGACAGUGUGCAUUUUGAAAAUGAAUGAGUGGGAACGGGAAAAUUACAUUUUAAGAACAAAAAAGCUUGAAUGUAGUCAGUAGAAGAAGAUGAUUGAUGCAUGAUUGCUGUUCAUAGAUUCCUUUUGUUGGAAGACAGGUUUUUGGAAACAAUAGCAAAACGCAACAGCGGAGAACAAGGCUUUCUAGUAUUGAGCAGCUGCUGUGCACAAGAAGUGUUACCACCCCGGUGCUGUUUUGAAGGGCAUUGAGGUAUUCUGGGAAACCAGACCAAGUUGUGUUUAAAAGAAACCAUUUAUGUUGCAAGGCUCUCCAGCUCUGGUGCUGCAUUUCCUGACGUGACUCUGGCAAAGGAAGUGCUGGUCCCAUGCUGAGUGUUAAUGGUGCAGGCGACACGCAAGGAAGCUGAACUCGCCUUUUAUUUAUUCGUGGGUGUCUGUAGUGCAAUAAUGUUCAGUAACUGAACAUUGAAGUAAAUGUCCCGGUAGUUUGUCAACCCUGAGAUGUGCAUGAAACAUUGUUCCCAUCAUUGGCCUGUAUGUAGAUGCAAACUUUCUCUGUGGAGUUCUUUCAGUUUUAAUAAACUUGUUUCCAACUUGUUUUAAAAUGAAGGUGGGGGGAGCAUAUUUUACCUGGUAAAAUACUGAUAUGAUAAUUGAUCAGUAUUAUAAGAGAUUUGAAGGGAAUUACAAACUGAAGAGCUCAAACUUGUGACAUAUGCAGAAAAUGUAUUAGUUUAAACUUAAAAAAAAAAACAACAACAAACCUUAAUGCUUGUUAUCAUUUCAGUUUUCAGACUGGUGUUUGGAACAAGAAUUAUUCUUCUGUUUAGGGCCGUGAUUUAUAGGAGCUUUGCUGGAAACUAGCCAGGAUAGCCUAGCAGGUUUGAAGCUGGAGCUGUGCAGGACUGCACAGGGCACUUCUGCAGGUGGGGGACAGGAAGAGAAGGAAGCAGCCACAUUCUGUGUGGAGGAGAACCUUGUAUAGAAGUUAACUGCAGCACCUAUAGAAGCUCUGUUGAGUGCUGAUUUCACAGUGAGAACAUCCAGCCCUUGGAAUAUCCCCAGGAAAUGCUGGAUUCCCCAGUGUUGGAACAGUAAGAUUUGCCUGAUAGGGUGCUGAGCCAUCUUGCCUGGACUGUGCUUUUGCCAAAGAAGGCUGGACCAGGUGAUUCUUGAGGUCUUUUCCAAUCUGGUAUCCUGUGAUUCCAUGAAAUCUCAGACUGAAGGCAAGUACUUGAUUCAGGGAAUGGGUUAAAAGGAACAUUACUGAGAAAUAUUUUUAAUACUAAAUAAAGCUCUGGCUCAUCAACAA